rnacentral:rRNA from 1 species
GCAAGUCGAGGGGUAGCAUUACUCUCGCGUAGCUGGCGACCGGCGCACGGGUGCGUAACGCGUAUGCAAUCUACCUAUUACUAAGGGAUAGCCUCUAGAAAUGAGAUUAAUACCUAAUGGCAUCUAAGCUUUGCAUGAUACUAAGAUUAAAGAUUUAUCGGUGAGAGAUGAGUAUGCGUGACAUUAGCUAGAUGGUGUGGUAACGGCGUACCAAGGCAACGAUGUCUAGGGGAUCUGAGAGGACUACC